UACGGAGGAUCCAAGCGUUAUCCGGAUUCAUUGGGUUUAAAGGGUGCGUAGGCGGAAUGAUAAGUCAGUGGUGAAAUCCUGCAGCUUAACUGCAGAACUGCCAUUGAUACUGUCAAUCUUGAGUAUAUUUGAUGUGGGCGGAAUGUGUCAUGUAGCGGUGAAAUGCUUAGAUAUGACACAGAACACCGAUUGCGAAGACAGCUCACAAAACUAUAACUGACGCUGAGGCACGAAAGCGUGGGUAGCAAACAGG
rnacentral:rRNA from 1 species